GCACAGCCUCAUUAUACGUAUGUGGAGGCUGGGCUGACUGAACUGUAGGGGGAGCUGCAGAGUCACUUCACCCUGCCAGCUCCUCUCAGGCAGUUCCCAUGGGCCUUUGAGAGUUCAGAGGUCGGGUGAGGAAGUGUUUCUGCAGCAGGUCCGUGUCUGGCAUGCUGGAGGGGGGAUGGCUGAUCGGAGAACUCGGACAGACAGCUCCAGUGAUGAGGAGGGCACAGCUGCGGGCAGCCAGAAAACAAAGAGCCUUAUGUACACCUGGUGCGGAGGUGCAGCCCUGCCCCACCCCCAACCCGAUCGCAGGCCACGCCCAUGUUCCCCUGGACUACGCGGAGAACACCAGAGGAGCGGAACCCAUAACUUCUACUGAGGCCGUCCUGUGUGAGCUUGCAUGGAAGGAGCAACGGUGGCUGGGACCCGGGAGCUGCAUUAGAGGAGCGUUGCCAUGGUUACGCGGCCCACGGAAUAAUGAUACGUCACUUCCGUCCUAGACUUCAUACACAGCACACUGGACAGGAAGUGCGGCUGGCGUGGCCGCGGCGGACGCUGGCUGGGAAAAUCAGAAGAGGAGGGGGAUAUGUCCCUGGAUCGAGACAUAGACUUCAUCACCGGCCUACUAGACAUGUACCGUAGCCAUGAAUGUCUAAGGAAGGUCAAAGCGAAGGGCUAUUCAAAUAAAGUGCGGUUGAAUGUAGCUAGUGAAUUACAGCAGGCCCCAGUGCUGACAAGGACUGGGUUAAGAAAAAGAUCUAGAACCUGCGUACUGUGUUCCUCAAAGAACACAAAAAAAUGGAGCCUACCCGGACAGGUUUUACCUCCCUCCCUCGGACCGCCACACCAGAGCCUGAAGAGGAUGAACUAUCUCUGUCGGCAUCUGUAAGUAUAUUUUUUAGAAUAAGUUUUUCAAAGGUUCACUAAAGUUCCAUCAGUCCAACACAGUCCACUUAAAUGUGGUCCUCCUGCCAAUCGACUGCACCCACCUCGUUAAAAUGGGCCAGGUAAUCGUCCCUGACCUGUUUUGCCCGUAGACUCACCCUAGAAUGGAGUUGAGGUGGUUCCACAGAGGGAAACAGUGAAGUCUCCUCUGGGUGAUCUGUGUCUGGGUCUCCUGGUGCUGCUCUGGGCAGUGUCCUAUGCUGGGUGUUUUUUCUGCGCAAAUAGUUAUGCAGGACACAGCACGCAGUCACCACCCAAUUUAUCUUCUCCACCUGCAAGUUGAAGCCGUUAGGACUAUCCGGAAGUGGGUAGACAGGAUGCCAAAAGUAUUCUCUACAAUUCGGCGUGCCCUGGAUAGCCUAUAAUUGUAGAUCCGCGUCUCCCUUGUCAGGUGCCUUUGGGGGUACAGCUUUAUAAUAUUCUCGUGGAGUGCAAAUGCCUCAUCAGCCACAAAAAUAAAUUGAGGCCGUGCUCGAUUUGCUCCCUAGAUGACAAGUUCAGGGUCUUUGUGGUGAGCCGCUCGUGGAAGGUGUAUUCUUCAGCGAGCAACCAUCUGAUGCACGUUCGUUUUUGCCAACGUCAUUCACCACUGCUAUCAUCACGAUGCUGAAAUACCCUUUAUAAUUAAAAUAAAGGGAUCCGCUGUUUGUAGGAGGGUUGAUGCGGACGUGCUUACCAUCUAUCGCUCCCCCAUAGUUACUACUACAUGACAAUGUUAUACUGUUUGACCGCCUUCCUGUCACUGCUCCUCCCACCCAACCCCAAAUUAUUCCGCCGACCCAACCCCAUCUUACUCCGCCCACCCAACCACAUCUUAGGCCACCCACCCAGCCAUAGCCUAUCCCGCCCACCCAACCCCAGCCUACUCCCCCACCCACCUGCUCCUCAGCCAUAUAGUCUGCUAUGCUGGAGGCAGAGGAGGACGUGCCCCAGUUUGAAUUUUUGUAGGCAUCUUAUAAUUCCCAAUAAAUAUGGUGCGGUAUAGGCUAUAUGGUGUUUUGGGGGCAGAUUUUUGGAGGAGGAUACACGCAUGCUGUAGGUGCAUAAUAAUAGGGCCGGGCCCAUUCAUUCUGCACUUUACAGCAUGUGUGUAUUCUCCCAAUCAAAUCUGUGCCAAAACCCCAUAUAGCCCUCUAUCUUAAAGUACUGCACCAUAUUUAUUGGGAAUUAAAAGUAAAACAAACUGUUAUUUAAUCAUUUUUAUCUAUUUUAUAACAUAU